AGUGGCACCGUGGUUAAACAUUCAGCUGCUAACUGAAAGGACGGUGGUUCGAACCCACCAGCCACUC
rnacentral:tRNA from 1 species